AGAGUUUGAUCAUGGCUCAGGACGAACGCUGGCGGCGUGCCUAAUACAUGCAAGUCGAGCGAGUCCCUUCGGGGGCUAGCGGCGGACGGGUGAGUAACACGUAGGCAACCUGCCUGUAAGAUCGGGAUAACAUAGGGAAACUUAUGCUAAUACCGGAUAGGGUUUUGGACCGCAUGGUCCGAAACGGAAAGAUGGCGCAA
rnacentral:rRNA from 1 species